rnacentral:rRNA from 1 species
CGAAGGGGCAAGCGUUGCUCGGAUUUAUUGGGCGUAAGGGGUGUGUAGGCGGUUUUGUAAGUUAGAUGUGAAAUCCCAGGGCUUAACCCUGGAACUGCAUUUAAGACUGCAUAACUUGAAGUUCGAAGAGGUUAGCAGAAUUCCCAGUGUAGAGGUGAAAUUCGUAGAUAUUGGGAAGAAUACCAAUGGCGUAGGCAGCUAACUGGUCGACACUUGACGCUGAGGCACGAAAGCGUGGGGAGCAAACAGGAUUAGAUACCCUGGUAGUCCACGCCCUAAACGAUGUAUGCUCGCUAUCGGGUAGUUUACUACUCGGUGGCUCAGUUAACGCGAUAAGCAUACCGCCUGGGGAUUACGAUCGCAAGAUUA